UACGUAGGAGGCGAGCGUUGUCCGGAGUUACUGGGCGUAAAGGGUGCGUAGGCGGCUGCGCGCGUGGAGGGUGAAAUCUCUCGGCUUACCCGGGAGGGGGCUUUCCAGACGGCGUGGCUUGAGGGACGGAGAGGGGCGUGGAAUUCCGGGUGGAGCGGUGAAAUGCGUAGAGAUCCGGAGGAACACCGACGGCGUAGGCAGCGCCCUGGCCGUUUCCUGACGCUGAAGCACGAAAGCUAGGGGAGCAAACAGG
rnacentral:rRNA from 1 species